UACGUAGGGGGCAAGCGUUGUCCGGAUUUAUUGGGCGUAAAGCGCUCGCAGGUGGUUCGAUGCGUCGUGCGUGAAAGACCCCGGCUCAAUUGGGGAGGGUCGUGCGAUACGGUCGAACUGGAGGCCAGUAGGGGGAUGCGGAAUUCCGGGUGUAGUGGUGGAAUGCGUAGAGAUCCGGAGGAACACCAGCGGCGAAGGCGGCAUCCUGGACUGGUCCUGACACUCAUGAGCGAAAGCGUGGGGAGCGAUCCGG
rnacentral:rRNA from 1 species